UGUGGCCAGUUUUAGUGCUCAUC
rnacentral:miRNA from 1 species